ensembl:lincRNA
CUCUCAGACUCCACUCUGAUUGGGCCUCUAGGACCCAGGAAUGAUUGGCAGGGUGUUGAGUCACCAGGGCUCUCUGAGCAUGCGUCUCUCAGACUCCACUCUGAUUGGGUCUCUAGGAGAGAUGGCCAGGAAUGAUUGGCAAGGUGCUGAGUCACCAGAGCUCUCUGAGCAUGCCUCUCCCAGACUCCACUCUGAUUGGGCCUCUAGGACCCAGGAAUGAUUGGCAGGGUGCUGAGUCACCAGGGCUCUCUAAGCGUGCGUCUCCCAGAAUCCACUCCCUAGAUUGCCCUGGGUGUUUGCGAACCUCGAGGAGAGGAGGAUUUGAGCGGGGAAAAUGUUACUGAAAGUCAGGCUGGGAGGACAGACACGCAUGCGCUUGGGCUGGAGCCACAGCGAUGUCUUGGGCCUCUCCUGGGGGACUGGAGGGCACGCUGGCCUGGGCGAGGCCCACCCUGAAGUGGCGGAGGGGAGGACCCCAGCCCCACCCGCGACGCCUUCGCUGCAGCCCCCAGGGCUCGGACAAAGCCUGCAGGCACCGGCUAAAGGUCGUCAAGUAAUUCGAAAUGGAGAAGAAAGGCUAUCCGAUGUGGCGGCUGUAAGAGUGAGAUUUGUCAGGAAGCCACAGAAGGGACCCUUCUCCCUUUCUCUGCCCCGAGCUGUGGGAGGGCAGAGGGGGAGGUGGCCCUGCCCCAGCCCUGCUCUGCCGGGGGAAGGAGAGGAUGAAGCCUCCGCGACCUCCUGGUCUCCCAACACAACACAAAGCCCGAGAAGCACCUGAAACCUGGAGAAGUUUCCAUGGAAACUGCAGCCCGCUUCCGUGUUUCCAUUCCGCUGACAUCUGAAUGAAUGGGAGCCGAGGAACCAACGCUUUGGCUCUGCUGCGUACACAAAGCACUAAUGGUUUUAUCUCAAGGUCAUUAUUAACCUCCACUGCAGUGUCGCUUCUGUCCUGCGUUCACAGGAUCCCACAGGCCUGAGUGGCUCGGAAAAAUCUGGGAUCAGCUGUCAAGCACAGUAUGUUUUUGCAUGCCCAUUAGUUAUUGUAGGAGCCUGAGACUUACUUCUUCAUUUAUGCAGUCAUUUUAAUAGCAAGCGAUUAGCAUUUUCUUGGUCUAAAACAACACUUCCGGUAUAUUUUAAUCUGAAUAGCUUCUUAUGACUAAUGCUACUUUCUGCUUUCAUAGCUGUCCUUUCUCUUCAGGUUAGAUGAAGCUGGACAGGAUCACAUGUCUUUUGACCUCUGUUGCCUGUGCAACUCUCACCUCAUCCCAAUGCAGACAUGUAGGAAGGAGGAGGCUCGCAGAGGACAGACACAGAAAAAAAUCACCUGCGAAGGAACUCAUCCGAGAGCAACCCACAAUGUCUGUAAGUCAGUAAUCUGUUUGUUUAUGCAUUUCUUUCUUCUGCUCUUUUGAGACAGGGUCUGGAUAGUUAGCUCAGCCUGGCCUUGAACUCACCACAGUCCUCCUGCCUCAGCCUCUUGUAAGGCCACGCCCAGGUUUUGAACCCUAUUUUUAACAACUAUAGAAAAUCCAAUAGCUCUGGCAGACAUCACAGAGGUGGUUGGCAGCGGAAUGCUUUUGCAUGUGUGCUGACAGGGUCUGCUGUACAGUCCAGGCCGUGCUUAGCUCACGCAGUAUCCCUCACUGGCCUCCAGGCCUGCUCCGCAUCCAGCAGAGGGCUGGGAGCACAGGUGUGUGGCACCAGCCCACCUGCAGAGCUAUUCAGUUUGGUUGCUUUAGGAGUCUGCGUGGUUUCAGUGGUUCUCAUGUGAUCACCAUUUUCAGUGUCACAUUUGCGCACUGUAAUGCUUGGGUCAACACUCCGGGCAAAGCCAACGACACAGUGAAGAAGAG